UACGUAGGGGGCGAGCGUUCUCCGGAAUUACUGGGCGUAAAGCGCACGCAGGCGGUUCGCCAAGUUUGGAGUGACAGUUGUCGGCUCAACCGACAAAGGACUUCAAAAACUGGUGAACUUGAGGACGAGAGAGGAACAUGGAACUCCAGGUGUAGUAGUGAAAUGCGUAGAUAUCUGGAAGAACACCAAUGGCGAAGGCAAUGUUCUGGCUCGUUUCUGACGCUCAGGUGCGAAAGCCAGGGGAGCAAACGGG
rnacentral:rRNA from 1 species